rnacentral:rRNA from 1 species
GUCUAUUUGAAGUUAUAAAAAGUUUAACCUGCCCACUGAUCUUAAAUAAAAUUAAAUGGCCGCGGUAUAUUGACCGUGCGAAGGUAGCAUAAUCGUUAGUUUUUUAAUUGGAAUCUUGUAUGAAUGGUUGGACAAAAGAAAAUCUGUCUUUAUACUGUUAUUUUAACUUAACUUUUAAGUGAAAAGGCUUAAAUGUAUUAAAGGGACGAUAAGACCCUAUAAAGCUUAAUAUUUACUUUUAUCAAGUUAAAUUUUAUUAAUAAAAGUUUGGUAAAAUCUAUUUAUUUUAUUGGGGCGAUAAAAGUAUAAUUUUUAUUAACUGCUUAGAUUUAUAUUCAUUUAUCUAUGAUUAAUAAUUAAGUGAUCCUUAUUAGAGAUUAAAAGUUUAAGUUACUUUAGGGAUAACAGCGUUAUUUUUUUUGAGAGUACCUAUCGAAAAAAAAGUUUGCGACCUCGAUGUUGAAUUAAAAUUUCUUUAUAAUUGCAGCAGUUAUAAAAGUAGGUCUGUUCGACCUUUAAAAUUUUACAUGAUUUGAGUUCAAACCGGCGUGAG